rnacentral:rRNA from 1 species
GGUGUGUACUGGUCUUGAUGGAAGCUUACCUCUUGGUGGGUCGGCAUGCCCUUCGUUGGGUGUGUCGAUUAACCAGGACUUUUACUUUGAGAAAAUUAGAGUGUUCAAAGCAGGCUUUCGCCCGAAUACAUUAGCAUGGAAUAAUAGAAUAGGACGCGCGUCUUUAUUUUUGUUGGUUUCUAAAUUCGCCGUAAUGAUUAAUAGGGAUAGUCGGGGGCAUUCGUAUUGCUUGGUCAGAGGUGAAAUUCUUGGAUUCUAGCAAGACGAACUACUGCGAAAGCAUUUGCCAAGGAUGUUUUCAUUGAUCAAGAACGAAGGUUAGGGGAUCGAAAACGAUCAGAUACCGUUGUAGUCUUAACAGUAAACUAUGCCGACUAGGGAUCGGACAAGCACAAUCUAUGACUUGUUCGGCACCUGAAGAGAAAUCUUUAAGUCUAGGUUCGGGGGGGAGUAUGGUCGCAAGGCUGAAACUUAAAGGAAUUGACGGAAGGGCACCACCAGGUGUGGAGCCUGCGGCUUAAUUUGACUCAACACGGGGAAACUCACCAGGUCCAGACACAAUAAGGAUUGACAGAUUGAUAGCUCUUUCUUGAUCUUGUGGUUGGUGGUGCAUGGCCGUUCUUAGUUGGUGGAGUGAUUUGUCUGGUUAAUUCCGAUAACGAACGAGACCUUAACCUGCUAAAUAGACCCGGGGCCUUAGGGAACCGGCUGUCUUCUUAGAGGGACUGUAGG